AGAUAAACAUCCAAAAUGACAUCCAAAAAUCUAAAUUUUGAUUAGCUUUUCUAUAGCUUUACUUGAUAUGGUGACGGGUAGAUUUACUGUAAUCUUACCUUUUAUGGUGCUUGAUUAAUGAUCUUUAAUAAUCAUUUGUUUAAACAAGCACAAUAAAUCCCCCGGUACUAAAAAAAGGUUGGAACCCCAAUAUAUGCUCAAACAAAUAAUAGAAUCAGCAACUAGAAUAAUGAAAUCAUCUUCCAAAGCAAUAGCAAAGGAACUCUCUUUUAAUAUCAUAGAUCGCACUUUGCAUGUUUCAAUUAUUACUUUGACUGUUAUACCAUAUUACCAAUAGGAUAAUGCUAUAGACAUUAAUAGAUGUUACAUACAGUUUCAUCAACCUACAUGACAAUUCUUAGUUAUAUUGUAAUCAUGAAAAGAAUGGGCAAAUAAUUGCAUAAAUCCAAACUUUGGGAUAAUUUCAAUUCUAUCUAAUUCUCCAAAUAUAAUCAAUUUAGGCAAUAUAUUUAGAAUCAACAACAUAUUAACAUGCAAGAAAUGGCUAAUCAGGAUUCAAUUAACAAGUGGAACCCACAUGAUGAUCUCUUACCCACCGUGCAAUGGCAUUUUGAAACAAAGGUAACAAGAAAUUAAGGUGCUCAUCUAUGAUUUGAGUCGAAGGUAAUAAAGGAAGUUUAUUUAAGGUCACCUAAAUCGUGUCUCACACAUUCAAUCAAGAAUCCAGCAUAUAUACACAAACAGAAAAAGUCCAAUCACACCAUUUAGGAAGAAAUCAACCCAAAAAAUUCCAUUUUUAAAAUCAUAAAUCAAUUAAUCAAAAGUAACCAGUAUUUUAAUGUAAAUAUAAAGGAAAACAAAAGGAUUGAAGCAUUACCUACAAAUACUGUAGUUGACAAAGGAAAAGAGGCUGAACUGAACUGUUGAUAAAAGGAGACCCAAAAGAAAAAUGCUAGUUUCGGUUGAGCAGUGUCCAGUAAAUGUGCGACUUUUUGAGGGGGAUGGGUCUGCAAGGUGAUUGUCGCUAUUGGCUCAAAUGGGUCUUCUCUCUGUGCCAUGAAAAGUAGACACAAAUGGGUCCUCUCUCUGUGCCGUGAAAAGCUUUUGCCUAUAGAAGAAUUGGGUGUUCCUUGCAGUGUGAAAUGAUGUUGUCCAAGCAAUUGAAGAAAUGGCUAAGUAUCGAGUUUGUGAGGAAGAAGGAAGCAAAGAGGGAAAAUGAGAUUCUUAAGUGCUC
rnacentral:misc_RNA from 1 species